AUAAUAUCUCUAUUAGAACUAUAGAAACAACAUCUCUAUUAGAACUAUAGAAACAUAAUAUCUCUAUUAGAACUAUAGAAACAUAAUAUCUCUAUUAGAACUAGAAACAUAAUAUCUCUAUUAGAACUAGAAACAAGAACAAUAGAAACAACAUUGAAUGUAAACUAAGACAGUUUUUCCAAAAGCACUGAUAUUAACAUAUUGUAUGCAGUAAAACAUGUUCAUGGAAUUGGCCUAUUUUCUGUACUAACUUUUCCCCUACUAAUUAUUUCCCAUACUAACUUCACUUUUACUUGAUGUUUGUCUUUAUGUUUGUCUUUACAAAAGUUUGUCUUUCCCAUAUUAUCGUGUCAAGUCCAUCUUAUCAUUUCCGGGACAGUCUCCAUUGCUUUCUAGCCACUGACGGCUUCUUCUCUGCUGGCCAGUUCACAUCUGCCACUUUCACACAUUCAGGUGGUCCUCCAAUUACUUCCAGAUACUGUGGUAAAUCUGAGAUGACCUUUUGUUCACUGGCAGCAGGUAUUGCAUCAGACACACAAUCUGAACAUCCCCAUACCAGUUUAUCAUCUCUUGGGCUUGUUGACUCCAUUCCUGUGCAUGCACUUUGACCUUUUGUUCUUUGACCUCCAGUAUAACGCCAGGGUAUGGUUGUUCAUCCUAGUUCACAAUGCACCACUGUCCAGUGUGGUGAGCCUCGAUGACAUCUGGACGAAGUGGAGCUGAGGUAUCUGGGUCGAUGACAUCUGGACGAAGUGGAGCUGAGGUAUCUGGGUCGAUGACAUCUGGACAAAGUGGAGCUGAGGUAUCUGGAUGAAGCGGAGCUGAGGUAUCUGGGUCGAUGACAUCUGGACGAAGCGGAGCUGAGUUAUCUGGGUCGAUGACAUCUGGACAAAGUGGAGCUGAGGUAUCUGGGUCGGCGACAUCUGGACAAAGCGGAGCUGAGAUAUCUGGGUCGGCGACAUCUGGACAAAGUGGAGCUGAGAGACCAUGGCCAUUAGCCGGGGCUGUGAUUUCUUGGAGUCUAUAACAUGGGCAAUCCCACAUGCUAUGCGCUGCUUGGCAGAGACAACUGUCUCUGUAUUUGAGGAUGCCAGGCACGAUACACUUUCCUUUUAUGGUGACCAGAGGUACCCCAGAAAUCCUCUGUGCCUUACUUUCCACCUCUGCCUCACUGACAUAAUACAACUGUAUUUGAGUGCCAGAGUCCCUUACCUCCCGAUAGAAAUACAUUGUGUCCGUUAUGUCUUUUCAGUGGUGGACCAAGAGGUCAGCUGACCCGCCCACUCCAACACUGUUUCUCCUGCUCUCAACAUCUGUGUUAUUUCUGUCUGACCCACCAUUGCUUUCACUCAUGUCUUGUUCCACUUUCUGUGACAACAUUCAUUCUUUUUUUUUUCAACUCUCUAAAACCUUUCACUAAAUCCUGUGUUUUUUUCCAAGGUAGGUUGCUCGGUGAUCCAGGUCAGCAUCCCUGCGCGGUCAAAUC
ensembl:lncRNA